rnacentral:ncRNA from 1 species
GCCGGUCCGCCCCACGGGUGUGCACGGUCGUCUCGUCCCUUCUGCCGCGAUGCGCUCCUGCCUUAAUUGGCCGGGUCGUGCCUCCGGCGCUGUUACUUUGAAGAAAUUAGAGUGCUCAAAGCAAGCCUACGCUCUGUAUACAUUAGCAUGGGAUAACAUUAUAGGAUUUCGGUCCUAUUACGUUGCCUUCGGAUCGGAAUAAUGAUUAACAGGGACAGUCGGGGCAUUCGUAUUCAUAGUCAGAGGUGAAAUUCUUGGAUUAUGAAAGACGAACAACUGCGAAAGCAUUUGCCAAGAUGUUUUCAUUAAUCAAGAACGAAAGUUGGGGGCUCGAAGACAUCAGAUACCGUCCUAGUCUCAACCAUAAACGAUGCGACCAGGAUCGCGGAUGUGCUUUUAGGACUCCGCCGCACCUUAUGAGAAAUCAAAGUCUUUGGUUCCGGGGGAGUAUGGUCGCAAGGCUGAAACUAAAGAAUUGACGGAAGGGCACCACCAGGAGUGAGCCUGCGCUUAAAUUGACUCAACACGGGAAACUUACCAGUCCAGACAUAGUAAGAUUGACAGACUGAGAGCUCUUUCGAGAUUCUAUGGUGGUGUGCAUGGCCGUUCUUAGUUGGUGGAGCGAUUUGUCUGGUUAUUCCGUUAACGAACGAGACCUCAGCCUGCUAACUAGCUAUGCGGAGGUAUCCCUCCGCGGCCAGCUUCUUAGAGGACUACGCCUUUCAAGCCCGCGAAGUUUGAGGCAAUAACAGGUCUUGAUGCCCUUAGAUGUUCUGGCGCACGCGCGCCUACACUGAUGUAUUCAACGAGCAUAUAGCCUUGGCCGACACCGGUAAUCUUUGAAAUUUCAUCGUGAUGGGAUAGAUCAUUGCAAUUGGUCUUCAACGAGGAAUUCCUAGUAACGCGAGUCAUCAGCCGCGUUGACUACGUCCCUGCCCUUUGUACACACCGCCCGUCGCUCCUACCGAUUGAAUGAUCCGGUGAAGUGUUCGAUCGCGGCGACGUGGCGGUUCGCUGCCCGACGUCGCGAGAAGUCACUGAACCUUAUCAUUUAGAGGAAGGAGAAGUCGUAACAAGGUUUCCGUAGGUGAACCUGCGAAGGAUCAUUG